GUUCAGUACGCCAGCAUCCAGUUCCGCCCCUCCAGUGCUGCCCCCAGGUCACCAUCACCAUCCGUAAAGGAAGACUGUGUUCUCUACAGCACACUUCGAAAACUGGACAUGUGAAAAUAAACCAGGAAGAUAUCUUGCUUCAUAAACUGUGGACCAAUGCUGGUUAUUCAGCGUAAAUUUGGACAUUUCUUUUAAUGUGUGAGCAUUUCCUGUGUUUUAUCUUGAACUUUAAACAGCAAAUUGUCUGCAAUGUAAUCCUCAAGCGGUAUGAACCAAACAUUUCCUUCACUGGAUGAUACAUUUAAGAGUAUUUAUUAAAACCAGUGAACAUAAACUCUCCUCAUGAACUCAGGUCACAUGACUGUACCUUUGUAACAUGACCAGGAUGACUGUGGUUAUUGGAGUCUGCAAAGAUGUACUCAGAAUGGAUCAUUCCUUUGGCAUUUUAUCAACAUUUACAUGCAUAACAGCUCAUGUCUUCAUAUUGUACACAAAGUAUUAUCAUGAUGUUGGUGACUGAAAGCCAUUAUCAUUGCUGAAUGUAUUCGUUGGCCAAAUAUACUGCAGAAUUUGGCUUUAUAUGUAAUUCAAAAAUUAUUAUUUUUUUAUUAAUACUAUAUAACAUUUACUAUUACAGACAUUCUUGUGCA